CAAGUAGGCUCUCUAGGUUUUUCUUAUUGUUAGUCUUUGUUUUACUAUCCUUUUUAGCGACUGAUAAAGGUGAGGCGCACGGGAUUAUAGUGCGUCCCCUUAUAGGAUAUAGUUUCUACCUCUAACUGAUGAUAGACGGAGAAACCGUAAGGAUAAACUUUAAGAUGAAUUUGUUAGGCUAACGCCGUUAACAGUAAAUGUGGAUUCUGAAUUUAAUGUUAUAUGAAAUUUUAGUUUAUUCUGACAUUCGUUUCUUCGUUUCCUGUGAAGAGUAAAAUAAGCUUUGCCAUUUUUUAGUCUAGGAGAAAAUAUCUUUCUUCUCAAAAGAAGACAUGAUAAAACAAAGAUAAAAAAGAAAAUAAUAACAAGGAAAAAAAAUGUUUGAAAUAUAUCCAAACUUUCAUCGAAAUUGUUGUAAGAAUACAUAACUUUGGAAAGGAUUUUUUGUCCCUUGCACUAUUUAAUACUCCCUUCGUUUCACACAGAAUGAUUUAGCUUGACUUGACACGGAGUUUAAGAAAAUAAAAAAGAUUUUUGAAUCAUGUGGUCCUAAAUUAAAGUUAUAUCAAAUGUACAAAAUUGCACUUUAAUCUUGUGGCCUUAAAUAUGCCAUGUUGAAAACUGAAAUUAAAAUGUUACCAAAAAAAAAAGAGAUCAUUCUUUUAGACUAAAAAGAAAAGGAAUUCAUUCUUUUUUAAACGGAGGGAGUAGAGUAUUUUAAAGAUAUAUAUGUGCACACGUGGACAUCAUAAAUAUUGCAUCAUUAUAAAUAGUAACGUGUCUACGUGGACACACAUAUAUCUUUAAAAUACAUUAUUAAAUAAUGCAGUGGGAGUAAAAGGUCCUUCAUAAAGUUUGAUAUCGUAACAACAAUUUUGGUAAAGGUUAGAAUAUUUUUCAGACUUUUUUCUCUAAUAACAAUAAAAUAACAAAAUAAAUAGAGCAAACAAACCAGUAAGUGAUAAUGAUUAAUGAGAAUCGAAAAAUAAGAUACUAGUAUUAUUUACGAAUACAAGAUAGUAGAGAUUGAUACUAUCUUAAUUCUCGACCUUCUUAUCUAGUAUCUUAUCAAAAGUUCAACCUUAAUUCUGGACCUUCCUGUCUUUUUAUUUGUAAUAAGUCUUUAGUCAAGUUCAAUCUAAUCACAUUUCUUUUUCAAUCUACCUCUCGUUAGGUAAUAAAAUUGCUAGCAUUUCCGUUAUGAAGUUGCGUUACUUAUAAUUUAAUGAUUUAAUAUUAUCGAUAAUUCAAAGUUACACCAAUUAUUCGCCACUUUCCAGAUGUUGGGAAAGUGUCUUUUUACUCGUUUACACGGGAGAAACGGUAUUGGCCGGUAGCACGCUGUUUCGCUGUCAAUCGGGGAGGAAGAAGACUUAUUUUAACUUUUGAGAAAUGUAUUAUUUGAAACAUUUUUUUUUUCCAUUAAUAUACAUCGUUUGGUGUGAGAGAUAAAAAUAAAUAGUGAUGAAAUAAGAAAAUAGUGAUGGAUAAAUUUUUUAUAUCUUGUUUCAUUACCAUGUUUGGGAUAACUUAUCCCACAAUUUGUUAUAGUGAUAGCUAGGAUAAGUUAUCCCAUAUACAUAGUGGAAUAAGUUAUUCUAGAAUAACACACCCCAGAAUAACUAAUCCUGAGAUAAUAUAACUUGUUUACGGCCAAACGAUCCGUCUACCCAUGUGAUUACACAUUUUCCAAUUUGAUCUAUAAUAGACUUUGCGAAUGUUAGCUCAUCACCGAGCUUAAAAAUGUGCAUCACGUAAACAUGUGAUAUUAUAAAAUCCUUCAUUUUUGCUUUCAAAUUUUGAUGUGGAAUUUGACUACUUCCUCCAUUUCAUAUUAAUUGAAUUUUUGAGGUGUUUCACACCUUUUAAGAAAAGUAGAUUAAGACAUAAAUUGAACAUAGUUUUCCAUUUUCACCCUUAUUAAUUAUUGUCAAAUUUAUUGAAGUCAUCACUUUGAAAAUCCAAAUGAAGGGUAAAAUUGGAAGAAUAUUUUAAAAAUAGUCUUGAAGAUUGAUCAAUUAAGUUAAUUUGAAAAAUGAAAAAUGCCUCAAAAAUUCAAUUAAUAUGAAAUGGAGGAAGUAAAAUCUUAUGUGCGUCCUCCUUGCUCAUAAGUCAAUCUAGAUAUCUAUCAGUCAUUUUCUUUGACAUGUUAGGUCCAUCAUUUGUCAUGAACGUUACAUAUAGUUUUUAGGAAUUUGGCGUUCUCAUUAAAAUUUGAACAAUUGUAUUGAGGGAGUUUUAAUAUCAUAUUUACUAUGGCACAACUCGUGACACAUAUUAUUCGUUUUAGACAAAGAGGUCUCACGUUCAAUCUCCUCGUUGAGGUUUACACAACUAUCAUACCACUGAAGUAUCUAACUCAAGCUCCUGACUAGUAUUGUUCACUUUGACCCAACAUACCUCAUAAUUUUGUUUUUUGGGCUCCACCAUCAUCAAAGUUCAAAAGCACGCAUUUUAUAUAAAGUUAUGAAUUAUAAAUCUCUUUACUUUUCUUUCCCAAUUUUGAUUUAAAUUCGUCUUAAUUAAGUGUAACAUAUACCUUAUUUAAUAUAGAAAGAGAAAGCCCAACAAGUAAUGACAUAUAAUAUAGAAAGAGAAAGCCGAACAAGUAAUGACAUAUCAGUAGGUUUGAUAAUUAAGACACUUAAAGGGUGUCAAUUAAAUUAAAAGUACUAGUGGACUGGUCAAAUUAAGUAAAAUGAAAGAAUAUGAAUUAUGAUGCAGAUUAGGUGAGUACACAUUUUGCCAUCGUAUCGACGUGCAGAUUAUAUCAGUUUCAGAUUCAAAAGAUUGAGAUAUAAAUCAAACUAAAGUGUAUAAUAUAUGUUCGAGCAUAUAAUUAUUUUUUUAAUAUUAUAUUAGUAAAAAUUAAUAAGAAAAAAAGUGAGCUGAACGAAUGUAUAUGAUGUCUGUAGAGGGAUUAACAACAUGAUAUUAUUUAUUUAAAGACAAUCAAUGCCAAUUGGUGGUAAAGAUGAAGAUACAUGGUCAAAUUAAAGAAUCUUCUCCAAGGCGGUAGCUGAUGCUUAAUUGACUUCAAUUUCUAUCAGCUAAGUUAGUCAUUUCUAAAAUUUUCUCGAAAUAAUAAUAAUAAUAAUUCUACUUCUCAACGAUGGGCCGAGUGGUAUGGAUUUAGUCUAUCUUUAAUGGGCUUUAGGAGCCCAAAUCCAUCCUUAUCAAUGAUCCAAUAUCUUCUUCUUCUUUUUUUUACUUCUAAACAAAAAAUCUAAUUUCUAUAUGUAGCUUUCAGUUUUGCUCAACUUUGUACAUGACCCUCAUCCGUGACUUAACUUUUCAAUAAUUUCUUUUCCUUUUUUUGUGACGCCAUUUCUUCUAUAAGUCCUUAAUGGUCAAAAAUAGGUUAAUUUUGAGGUAGAAACAAAGUUUAGAAAAUGAUUGUGUUGGUCACAUGUAUACAGUGACUAUUUUUUUUUUUUUUUUUUGUCCACCUCAAAUAUAUUUUUUAUACUUUUUAUUAUAUGCAAACAUUUGUAAAGAUUAUACGAGCGAACUAUUAUUUUAGCAAGUCCAUAAAAAAAAUGAACAUUGUCAAUAGAACGAUUCUAUUUGUAACACAUAAAUCUUACCUCUUACUUUUUCUCUUUUGUUUCUUAGAAUUUAGAUAAUGGUUUCCUCUAAUGACUUGAUUUGAUACCAAACACAUUGAUAUUAUGGUUGAAUGUCGGAGUAUUUCAAUUUCAUAAUUACCAACAAUUAGGUCAAAAUCUUUUUAAUUUUCUAAAAUAAAAUGGAUUAGGAAUGAUUAUUCAUUUUAUUACUUUAUUCUUAAGAUGCCACUAACUAUAAUAUAGGAGGAUAAUCACUUAACUAACUUUUAGCCCCACCUGUCCCAUUGCUAUUUUGACAGUUGGGUGAGGAACCCUCAAUCAUGAAGCAUGGGAACAAGCAAUUAUUCCAUAUUUAAAAAUUAGGAAAAAAAUAUAAAGGGCAUUAGAUAUGGAUCAAUUUAUUUGGUCAUAGGGAAAUUAAAUUAGUAGCCAACAUUCUGGUUACCACUACAAAUUAAGUGGAUGUCACCUAAUAACUAUAAGUACUUAUAAUUAAUAGUGUAAGAAGUUUAUACACUCUAACUCAAUACUAUAUUUUAACUUAUUAUAGUAAGUUAGUUUUCCUUUAAUGAGCAGUAUAGCAGGUAAGCUUCCCUUUAAUGAGCAAUUUUUUUUGGAGUUUUUAUGUGGACACAAAUUCAUAUUUCAAUUAUGGUCCUAAAAUAGAUAUCAGACACCGGAUAAAUAAAAAUAAAAUAAAAAAUUUCCUACAUUGAUCAACUUUUUUAAAACGGUUAUGUAACUAGCUUCGAGGUGAUCUGAUAGUGCAAAAAAAUAUGCGAAAUAAUAACAAUAAUUUAUCUAGAAUAAGAUCUGAAAAGGAUAGGGUGUACGCAGUCUCACAGGUGUAUAUAAAUUAAACUCCAUGGGGUCGUUUGGUUGAGAACAAGUUAUUUCGGGAUUAAUUAUGCCGAAAUAUAUUAUCCUCAUCAAAUAAGUUAUUCCAACAUAUAUAUAUAUGAGCUAACUUAUUUUAUCACUAUGAUAUAAAUGAUGACAUAAAUAAUCCAAUGAUUAUCUAAUACCUCCAAUCAAACGUAGAAUAAAACAGUUUUACAUUUUAUCUUGAGAUUAUUAUACCUUAUAUAUAUCUCACACCAAGCGACUCUCAAGUUGUAAUGAGAUCUUUCUAUAUCUUUGAUUGACAAAAAUAUAAUUGGAUAAUGAAAAAUAAUUAAUAGACUUGGAAGAACAUAAUUAAUAAACAAAGAACCUCAAUAAUGUCAUUAUCAAAAGGGUAUCACAUGGUAUACACUCAUUGCCUCUCUUUUUUUCUUUCCCCUUAGCCAUUUCAAAGGAGUCCUCAUGGCUUUGGUUUCACAUUUAUGUUUGUGUGAUUAUGACUUGAACUCAUUACCUGCCUUCUUCUUAUUCUUCAACAACAAUUUUCCUCUUUCUUUCUUUUUGGUUUUUUGUAUUUUAUAAAUAUUUUUAGUGUUCCUAUACUAAUUACUAAUUCUUGAUGAGUAUGGAUGAUUCAUUUGAUGAAGAGUGUGAUUAUUUAUUCAAGUCAGUUCUUGUUGGAGACUCAGCUGUGGGGAAAUCAAAUCUUUUAUCAAGAUUUGCAAGAAAUCAAUUUCAGCUUGAUUCUAAGCCAACUAUAGGUGUGGAAUUUGCUUAUAGAAAUAUUAGAGUUGGUGAUAAACUCAUCAAGGCUCAAAUAUGGGACACUGCUGGACAAGAAAGGUACCCAACUUUUUCCUUUUUAUAUUCUCUAGUCUUCAACAAUCUAUCUUUCAUUGUUUAACAUGGAUUGUCGUGGGAUGGUUGAGAUCCUUCUAUUCUUAAUCAGAUGUCUCGAGUUCAAAUCUUUAAGAAUGAAAAAGAUCAUAUUUAAAACGUUUCCCCAAAAAAUGGAUCAUACAUUGCACGAAUUCAAAUAUAACCAAUAUUAAUACAAAUAUCGAACAUUGAAAGAAAAAAAUAUAUUCUUAACACAUGUUUUGUGUGUCUCUAUUAUGAUCAUAGUUAUUGAAUUAGUGCAAGUUUGGUUUAGUGUUGGGAUUCUCCCUUUGAAACUCUUAAUUCUCUUUUAGCUCAAUUUCAAAUCCAAUUUACCGUCAAAACUUAGAACUCUAUAUAAUAAUCAUCCUCUGUAAUAACAAAUCAUUGUGAUAAUCAAGUUUUCAUUUGUAAUAAUUGUUUUUCAUGGUAUAUAGUUAGGUUAUUAUUAUAAUAAUAUCUCAAAAAAAAAAUUGAAUAAAAAAGUAUUAACAAAAUAUUUAUGAAUAAAUAGUAUAAUCUUGUUGUAAGACAUGCAAAGAGGAAACGGAGAGAAAAGAUGUGAAAAUUGCAAGAAAGUUAAAAUUAAUUUCAACAUCAGUCCAAACCGGCCAAUUGAUCUAUGAACCUUAUCUACACGCCUCUAAAAAGUCUAUUGUUUUUUUUUUUAAAACAUCUAAAAAAGUCUAUUAAAGUUAAGAUACCAGCUCACUUGACAUAAAUGAUAAAUUUGACUAAAAAACAUACAUUUAAAAUUUAAUUAAAUCUAUUUACGUUCACUUUGUUUUUUCUUUUGUCGUGUCCGCUAUCCGUUACACCAAUUCAAAUAAUUGCUUUAAAUUUCAAUAUAUAUCUAUAUCCAAUUACCAAAAGCAAAACAUAAUGCAAAUACGACGUCGUCAAUACUUUGCAUUAUUAUUAUUUUUAAUAUUUUAACUUCAUGGUGGGCUAUAAUUUUGAACUGUUACAAAGAGUGUGGAUGUGUAGUUUUUGACAAUACUAUCACUAUAGUAUAAUUUUUAGUAGCAAUAAAUAUACAUAUUUUUAAAAAGAGCCAAAAAAUUUAUCAACAUUAGUUAAUUAACAUUGAAUUUAAUGU
rnacentral:lncRNA from 1 species